UCCCAAUACGCAAUUUUAGCCGAAUCGUGACGCAAAACACGGCUUGUCUCGAAUCCCGCUAAAAUAAGGGUGUCUAUCCCGAAUCCCGACAGUUAUUUUCGGCCCAUCCCAGUGUCCCGAAAAUACCCGUUCUCCCCCUCAUACAUAGUAGACCAUAUUGUCACAUUGAUGUUUUCUUUCAUUACAGUUAGACUUCGAGAUCUACAUUUUCGACAAAGGCCUGGUGUAAUAUUAUUACGUACUUGAUGAAGGUUUAAUGACACGAAUGAGUACAAGUACAUUACAUUUUUCGACGAAGGCCUUCUGUAAUUUCAUACGCUUCUUACGCAACAUUCAAUAGAUUUAUUUACUGUAUUAUCAUUUCGACCAAGGCGAAUUCGACACUUCAAUUACACAAGCACAAUCAAACUUAGUCAUUCCAGUCAGUUACUGAAGCACAGCGAAAACUGUCUGAAUUAGUGCUGCUGAUGGCAUGUAAUUACUCUACUACUACUACCAGUGACAGUCAAUGUCCAAAUAUUUUCAAGUGUGUGAAAUUAGUACUAGUCUACUUCUUAGUGUUAUUUGAAUGCAAUGUAUGUUAUAAAAAUAUUUUUUCAACACUAUAUCAACAUUCUCAUUCCUGUCAGUUUCUGAAAAUCAGCUAAAGCAAUCGCUACCAAUGCAGCUGAUAACAGCAAUUCUUUUUGUUCCCAAUGCCCAUCCAUGACAAUAUAUUUCACGCAUGUGACAAUCAUGUAAUCAUCCUGUUUUUUGUGUUCUAUUCAUGCAAUAAAUAAAUUCAGUAUUUUCAAAUCAUUGGUGCUACAAAACUAUUCUCAUUAUAGAUUAUUCAUAUUUUAUAAAAUGCUGUCAUGUCAAAUUUUGUGUCCUAGUAUAAAUCAUAAUGAAGUCGGCAUUUUAUAUACAACUUUUGUACUCCUCCUAAAUAAACAUACAAAUCUUGUUUUAUGUAAACUUUGUAUAUGUGACCCGUCACAGCAAAACCAGGCGCAUGUCGCUCUGAGCUUGGCAGGUUGAGACGGACUGUUCUAAUCUUUCAUUAGCGACACCAUUUCUUACCAGAGUGCCUCCUUCAUUCAUACAUCUUGUACUUUAACUCAAGAUACCCAUCUUUGAAUAUUUUUAGUAUACCAAGUACUACAAUGUCAAUGUAUUGAAGUCAUGUUCUUGUAGUGUUAUUGGCUUUCUAUUAUCUUGUCAAAAUACCACUUGGUUCUCGCAAAAUCUCAAUAAAAACAAAUGCUAUUGCAUGUAUUGCAUAUUCUAACAGCUAUCCACUGUAUCGAUUUAUCCAUCAUCUGUACUAUUUGUCACAAAAAUGUUAUAUUAUGUAAAUCAUAUUUCAUUACAUAAUGCACACUGCCAAUUACUGCUGAACCAUUCAUAUGUCAUUUAAAUAAAUAAUUUUCAACUUUUUAAAA